ncrna:Enterococcus italicus DSM 15952 L31-Firmicutes ribosomal protein leader
CUCUGUUUCAGCAAAUGACUCAGGGCAAAGGAG